UACGAAGGGGGGCUAGCGUUGCUCGGAUUUACUGGGCGUAAAGAGCGCGCAGGCGGUCGUUCAAGUCGCGUGUGAAAGCCCCCCGGCUCAACUGGGGAGGGUCACGCGAUACUGAUCGACUCGAAGGCAGGAGAGGGUAGUGGAAUUCCCGGUGUAGUGGUGAAAUGCGUAGAUAUCGGGAGGAACACCAGUGGCGAAGGCGACUACCUGGCCUGUUCUUGACGCUGAGGCGCGAAAGCUAGGGGAGCAAACGGGG
rnacentral:rRNA from 1 species